rnacentral:rRNA from 1 species
GACGAACGCUGGCGGCGUGCUUAACACAUGCAAGUCGAGCGGUAAGGCCCUUCGGGGUACACGAGCGGCGAACGGGUGAGUAACACGUGAGCAAUCUGCCCUUCUCUUUGGAAUAACCAUUGGAAACGAUGGCUAAUGCCGAAUAUGAACCCCCUUCGCAUGUUGGGGGUUGGAAAGCUCCGGCGGAGAUGGAUGAGCUCGCGGCCUAUCAGCUUGUUGGUGAGGUAAUGGCUCACCAAGGCAUUGACGGGUAGCCGGCCUGAGAGGGUGACCGGCCACACUGGGACUGAGACACGGCCCAGACUCCUACGGGAGGCAGCAGUGGGGAAUAUUGGACAAUGGGCGAAAGCCUGAUCCAGCAACGCCGCGUGAGGGAUGACGGCCUUCGGGUUGUAAACCUCUUUCAGCAGGGACGAAGCGAGAGUGACGGUACCUGCAGAAGAAGGACCGGCCAACUACGUGCCAGCAGCCGCGGUAAUACGUAGGGUCCGAGCGUUGUCCGGAAUUAUUGGGCGUAAAGGGCUCGUAGGCGGUUUGUCGCGUCGGGAGUGAAAACUCAGGGCUCAACCCUGAGCGUGCUUCCGAUACGGGCAGACUAGAGGUAUUCAGGGGAGAACGGAAUUCCUGGUGUAGCGGUGGAAUGCGCAGAUAUCAGGAGGAACACCGGUGGCGAAGGCGGUUCUCUGGGAAUUACCUGACGCUGAGGAGCGAAAGCAUGGGGAGCGAACAGGAUUAGAUACCCUGGUAGUCCAUGCCGUAAACGUUGGGCGCUAGGUGUGGGGACCUUCCACGGUUUCCGUGCCGCAGCUAACGCAUUAAGCGCCCCGCCUGGGGAGUACGGCCGCAAGGCUAAAACUCAAAGGAAUUGACGGGGGCCCGCACAAGCGGCGGAGCAUGCUGAUUAAUUCGAUGCAACGCGAAGAACCUUACCUGGGUUUGACAUAUGCCGGAAAGCUGCAGAGAUGUGGCCUCCUUUUGGCCGGUAUACAGGUGGUGCAUGGCUGUCGUCAGCUCGUGUCGUGAGAUGUUGGGUUAAGUCCCGCAACGAGCGCAACCCUCGUUCUAUGUUGCCAGCACGUUAUGGUGGGGACUCAUAGGAGACUGCCGGGGUCAACUCGGAGGAAGGUGGGGAUGACGUCAAGUCUUCAUGCCCCUUAUGUCCAGGGCUUCAAGCAUGCUACAAUGGCCGGUACAAAGGGCUGCGAAACUGUAAGGUGGAGCGAAUCCCAAAAAGCCGGUCUCAGUUCGGAUUGGGGUCUGCAACUCGACCCCAUGAAGUCGGAGUCGCUAGUAAUCGCAGAUCAGCAACGCUGCGGUGAAUACGUUCCCGGGCCU